AUCGCUUCUCGGCCUUUUGGCUAAGAUCAAGUGUAGUAUAAAAUCCAAAUCAUCAAAAUAGAUCAACAAAUUAU
rnacentral:snRNA from 1 species